rnacentral:tRNA from 2 species
GCUGCUGUGGCUCAGUCGGUAGAGCGUCGCCUUGGUAAGGCGGAGGUCACGGGUUCAAUUCCCGUCAGCAGCU